UGAUUUAUGUAUUGUUCAUCAUACUUUUUUUUGUGAAUAAUUUUUUAUAAAUUAUUCUACUGCAUUGCCUAGUUGCGCAGAACAUACAUAUAUUGCAUUAUGCAAUCGUUGAAACAAGAUUUUUCUACUAGAACCAGUACAACUUCCUUCCGCUAUUCAAUUAACAAGUACUCACUUCUUCACUUUUUAUAACUUCCUUAAAUUCUCGCUUGAUUCGAGAUACUGCCAUAUUCGCCAUUUUAUCUUGCUACUGUUCCAAAUGUUGCUCUUCUUCAGGAUGAAAUUCAGCUCUUGUUUUGCUAGCGCAGCUCGAUUAAUGUAAUGUCUUUGUUUGAAAUAUUACGGGCCCGAUAGAUGUUGACCGAGAUCUUACAACGCAAUUCAAGUAGUCGUUUAAAGAGUGGAACUAGAUCAAUUUUGACUUAUUUGUGUUCUGCCAAACAGGGGCUCUGUUUUUUGACUUUUCGUGCUCCCGAUACUCUAUUUUCGCAAAAGUCUACACCUUUCAAAUCUUCUUCCUCGGGGAACUGUUCUUAUUUGCGCUAAUUUCACCCACACAACUCGCCGGAUGCCACCCAUGUGUUUGUGAGCAGAGCAGUUUGACAAGUAAAAUAGCACAGUAGAGUCCGGUCUUUCCACGAAAUAGGGUUGCAAGAUUACACAAAAUAUAUUGUGCGUUCAUUCUCCAACUUGACACGAUGAUUCGAAAUAGUCGCACUUGAAAUGGUCGUAAGGGGCCGUCCACAUACCACGUGGACAGAAAAAGCAUGAUUUUAGAUACCCCCCUUCCCCUCCGUGGACAAGCGUGGAUAUCCCUUAUACCCCUUCCCCUGUUGUCCACGUGUACAUUCCUCCGGUUUUGAGGAAAAAAUUAAGAAAUUAAAUUUUUUUCGCUUAAAUUUUAUUUCAAGUUUGUUUCUAUUUUCUAUUCCAUGUUUUUAUUGAUAAAAAUUAUAGCCUUACCAAUAGUAACGAUUUGUCUUGAAAUAUUCUAUUUUUUAUUUUUUAUUUUAUAUUAUUUUCUUCCGAAUUCUAUUUACGUUAUCUCCAUAUCCAUUUUAAAAUAUCGAUUGUGAGCUUAUUCUUGCCUAUUUUAUAUUAAAGCUGGCUGGCUGUUUGAGUUUUUAAAUAAUCAGACAAUGCAAUCAAGCACUUUGUUUGAAAACAGAAUUGACUUUCAACAUCAAUGACUUUCGCUUUAACAGGUUCGGUAGUGCCUGCUGGCUAUAAUGAACCUAGUAAAAACAAAACAUCUGCGGUAUCACCGUGAUCAUGAUUCCGUGGACGUUGACGUUUCGUUAAUUGUUAAAUCAUGCUAAAUAUUGUUCUGAAAAAUUCGUGCCGAUUCUAAGGGAAAAAACCAAAAGCAUAUUUUUGUAGACAUACAUCUUUUCGAUCAUAAAUGCACCGUUUUUUCCUGAAUAUUUCAACAUCCUUCAUGCAACUUGAGAAUUCCAUCCAUUCCAUGCUAUGCCGUAAGUUUAAGUUCUUACAAAAAUCUCAACAGUUAAUAAUCUGAAAAUGCAAUCUGGUGUGUAAGGCGGGUGGAGUUUUAGAAGUGCCCUAGAAGCGUUCUGGAUCGUUGAUUUUCAUACGUUCAGCUGCUGGCAGUACUUGUUGGAAUUCUUCGAAACUAGUUGCUUGGUAGAAGCUCAUGACACAGAUUUCUUCCAGUCCUACCAGACCCAGCCAUAACUUUCUUCAAGCGAAAACCUUCUUCGGGGUUCCAUUCACUUGCUAAGAUUUUUUUUAACUCAACAUUCUUGUGAAUGAUUUGCCCUUUACAAUUCGCUACAAAUAUGUAUUUUCGUCGCGUUUACGAAACGAAUCGCAGAUUGAGAUAAGUUCCUUCAAGUGUUUUUCGGUAAAAUAAACCCUUAUUCCGGAAUCCGGUCGGAUUUGAAAUAAGCACAAUGGUGCGUUCUUUAAGAGGGUAUUCUAGUCUAGAAAUUUGGAAAAAACAGUAAGUGGGUUAUAUCUAUGGUAUAACCGCAAUGGUGACGUAGGACUAUUGUUGAUUUAGUGAUCAUUUGUUUGAAGUUGAAUCUGAAUCCAUUCUGAAUUAAUGAAUGAAUGAAUAUUUGGGGGACAUCGAAAACGAGAGCGUUACGUUGGAGGUACAAGGUUUUAUGCAUCCAAUAUAUGAUAUGAAAAUAUCCUACUGAUGGGGAAGACUAAUCUUCAGAAGCUUUCCUGCUAAUUGCACUUGAUUGAAAAAUCACAGAACCAACCAAAUAUAUCGCAGUGUUAUAUGGUUAGAAAACAUUAAAAUAAACUCUUUCGCUUGCAUGUUAUUUUCAAUGCCAAGGGGAACUGGCAGAUUAUUUUGCAGCAAUGAUCACUCUUUUCCGGAUUUUUCUCGAUAACCAGCAAACGUAAAGAGUUGCGCGCGUGUAUGUGUGUGUGUGGCGGUUGCUCCGAUGUCUCAAGCGGAACCAAUUUUCGUUGCUGGUAUUCUCUCGGUCGUCUUCUCUUCUCUUUCUGAUGGAUCGGCUUUUCUGCGCUCCGUCACAGUCCUCAACAAACUGAAUGCGUUUCAGGUUAGGUCAGGCCAGGUAAUGAAUCCCUUGAUGGUGGGGGAUCCAGCUCGUCCAGCUCGUUCAGUAACGAUGUUGCCUUAUCGAUGUCCUCACGAAAAAUGAAUGCGUUUCACCACCAGAAUAUCGCUUAAGUAUGCUUUUUGUGCGUGAUUGAAUCGGGAGAAGGUGUGGUUUGCCAUCGUACAAUUUGGACGGCAAACUAGAGGGGAAUGAACUCUCUGAGUCUGAAACUUUCGGCGACUGAGCAAUAAUCGAUUGAAAAUUAUAUAAUUUUCGCGAUGCGAAACAUUCUCCGUUGCGCGCAUACAAUAUUGGAUACGCAAGUUUUCUACUGAUGGGGAAGAAUAAUUUUCAGAAGCUUUCCUGUUAAUUGCGAUUGAUUGAAAAAUAACAAAACCAAAUGUAUUUGGUUGCAGUGUCAUAUGGUUAGUAAACAUUAGAAUAAACUCUUUCGCAUCAAUAUAUUUUUCAAUUCCCAGGGGAACUGGCAGAUUAUUUUUCAGCAACGAUUGAAUCUUUCCGGGAUUUUCUCGAUGCUGAAUGGCAUUUAAACGAAAAGUUCCGCGCGCGUGUGUGUGUGGUCAACUUAAAGAUGUAGAACCCUAGGUUGAUCACUUGAUAUGUAGUACUUUAUUAUAAUGUAAACCAAAUUAAGAAAUAAAAAGAAUUUAAGUGAAAAGUGUGUGUGGCGGCUGCUCCGAUCUCUUCCCAGGGAACCGUUUGUGGCAUCACUCUCCUCCUGAUGGAUUCCCUUCUUGCCUAAGGUGCACAAACAGGCUCUUGGUGACAUCGUUCAUCCGCGCUUUCAUGAUAAACGAAUUAUAACUAAGUGCAUUUCCGAGCGGCGCUCGCUUAUAUACCGAUUGGUGAUUUCAAUAGCCCGUUUUGAAAGCAAUUGAAACUAUUGAAACAAUGUUUUGGAUCAAAAAGUAACAAGUAUAUAACGCAUAGACAUUUUAUCUUUGGAAUGAAUUGUUUAUCAUACCAUUUCGUUCAGUUGUUUAGAAGCUAUUAACGCUCAAAAUCUCGGUCUCCGGCGUAACGCUUUCGUUUUUGAAACUUUGAUUUUACACCCCGGUAUAGAAAUGAAAGACGUCUGAUGAUUUUCCUGUUCUUCCGACCGGCAACAACUCUCGUCGUUUACAGUUGUUCCUGACUACCUGAUCCACUGAGCGAAGUCGAAAUAGUUACUUGACCGCCUGUAGUAUUGUCUGCUUGUUCUAAUUAUUGCUCUCCGUUCUUGUUCAACAGUUCUAUAUAUUAUACAAUUUCAAACGUUAAGUAGAGAUUUUCACCAGAGCUGUUUGUAAACAAUACCGAUAGCAAUUCCAAUAUGGCUGAAAGUGCAUUUCAUGUGAUUGUUUCACUUGGUAUGUAUAUACAGUAAUUUACAUUUAAUGCGACAUUUAGCUAAUUGGACAGACCUGUAAUGCAACAUGUUUAAUUGAACAUCUUUACCUCUAAUUGGACAUUUUUGUAAACAUCGAGUUCGGGGCCCAAAUUAUGGCCCCACAUUGAAAGUCCCUACCAGAAGUCGACACUGUACCACUCUCAUAGAGAAUGUCCAAUUAAGUGCGAUUCACAUACAACAUCCACGUUACGUCAAUUAUUCUCCCAUACAAUUCUUAUGGAAAUAUUCACACCGGCAGCGAAACGACCCGCCAACGACUGUUCAUCGAAUGCGACCGGCAGAAUUUGUAGAAAAGAAUAAUUGACGGAGACGGAUGGUUCGUUGAGUUUUUGUAUGGGCUUUGUAUCACGGCUUUUGUUUUGAUUUUGGUUGCAUUUUUUAUGCCAACAUAUCUCUUCGUCUGAGUUUCGGAGUCAAAACUAUCCGCGACUAGCUAAGAAAAACAGUUUAUAUGUUAUUAUUGCUGGAUAGUGGUCGAAAAUACGCAUUUCAAGCAUUUAAAUAAUAUAAUUCAAUGAUUUUAAUUGAACUUUUCAAAAUUUAGAACUGUUGUAGGUGGCGACACUAUGAAUAACAUUAAAUAAAUCAUAUGUGGGCUCUCAAUUGUCCGUUGAAAAUUUUCUGAGUGGCUAGCACUCCAGUUUCGUGUUUUUGCUAUAAUAUAUGUGAUGUAAUCGCAACGGAAUAUUUAAAGAUGUGAAUUUCAACAUCACUUAUACGCCAUUUUGAUAACAACUUGAUAUUCAUUCUCAAACCGUGUAAUACUUAUGACAGACAUACAAUUGUACUAGCGUUGUACUUCGAAAAUUGUAUGUCUGUCACCAUGUACAGCGCUAGAACCAUGCAACCAACUCGGUACAAUCGCUGUAUCUGUACCGACCUGUUUCACCGUUAUACAUGGCUACAGUUGUACUGUGCGUAGCGCCAUAGACGGUUAGUGGUGGGUAGCAUGAACAAUCCGAAUAAAAACACUUGGUAAACAUUUUUUUCAUUGACUUUCUCUUGAGUUAAUAACUCAGAUUGGAAACUUGUUUGCUGUGUUUGAUAGUUUAGACGCUAAAUGAAAACCAUUUUCAUUGAAAUAUGUGGUGAAAAUUGGAAAAAAAUCGGAUUGUCUGUUUGACAUACGGCACAAUGUACAACCAAAGUAUAUAGGUACGAUGGUACCUAUACAACGCUGUACACGACAACGCUAGUACAGCUAUGUUUGUCCAUGAUAUAAUGCAAAGGUUGGUAGAAUGUAUUUGUAUAUUUUCUGUACAUAUGUAUGUAUGUAUAUUUUCUGUACAUAUUACUAACCGUGUGUUACAUGAGUGUCAGUUGCAAUACACAUCACUACCAACGAUUGGUAUAUUUUACUACACGGUGCUCGUAAAUUUGACGAUUGUCAUUCUGGCAACCGCGAAAAGAAUGAUGUGACACCAUUUCUAAUUUCACCAUGCGGAUAGCAACACCAUGAAGGAAACCUACGUACAUAUUAUAACAUACAGCAGUUUGGACGGCUGAUGGGGAUCAUAUAUAAGCAUCGAUCAAAAUGUCACUGUCGGUAGCUGAAAUCAACUUUAGUGUUGCUGAUGUUGGAGGAUUCUUCGGAAAUCCUGACUCAGAACUUUUCUACCAGUGGUGUUAAUAACUUUCGGACUAAAUUAUGUAAAAAAAAAAUAUUUCGGAGUGAAGCUCCUUUUUUAUUCACUAUUUGAAUGAUCACAUAGAACUGUUCUUGACAAUGAUUAUCCCUGCCUUUUCUACUGAAUGAAAUGGUUUACAAUAUUUAAUCUUAUUCUAAUUCAGCAUAUUUGGUGGGAACGAUCUGGGUGGCAUGAUGUUUAUGUUUAUAGUCUGGAUGAUUGUUGAUGUGGUGUGUUUAUGUUUAUUUAUCGAUCGCUCGCUUGGCUUGAUCUAUAUUAUGAUGAUUCGCAUUUUGCUUAUCGCGAGUGGCUGACUGGUGUUGCACUAACUUAUCAAAUAGCUACCUUUCAACGUUCCUCCGGUCCCAAAGUUAAUGUUUAUUCCCCAACAAAUUGAAACGGAGAAUCAACGGAACUGCAUAUUUAUGUCAUUCAUAGCCAACCAUAGCGAAAUGAGCAAAGCCUGCGAAUCGACAACAUUCAACAUCAGCAACCGGACGGCAUUAUUUAAUUUUAACUAAGCUAGGGAACAUAACUUUUUAUCAAGGCCUCUGUAAUUGGAACAGAAAUAAAUAUGUUUAAGUAUCAUUUGACUCGUCAAGCUUCAAUCUUCAACCACAAGUGUGUUAAAAAGCCACCCCGAAGUUGUAACUUAUGUUCAACCAACGUUGAACCGACAUCUUAUACCGGGUUAUACUAGCUGCUUUGGCAUUUGUUUACCAUUGUUAUCGCAUAAUAUGUACGAAUAAUUCGUAUUGCAAAAAUUGACUAAUCAUUGGUAAUAUUUACCAAAAAAUUCGUCAUAUAAUGUUUCCUGGUGCACCCGUGGCCGAGUGGUUAGCAUCUCACAUUACCAUGCCGGGUGCUCGGAUUCGAUUCCCGUUCUGACCGGGGGAUUUUAUCGCCAAAGAAAUUUCUUUCGGCUUGCACUGUAGUCACGCGUAUUCUAGAGCUUGCCCCUCGGAAUACAUUCAAGACGUGUUAUUAAUCUUAAGAAAUCUCAACUAAGUAUUAAUAAAUGACGCUAGUUAAAGCAUACGUUGAGACGGCAAAAGUUCCACAGGGAACGUUAACGCCAUUCAAGAAGAACCAAUGUUUUCCAAUUGUGUAGUAUCCUAUGUAAUCACUGCUUUAUGGCGGGUUUACAUCAGGGAGAUCUAUAGCUAUAGAUGGAUUUAUUCACCCGAAAAUAGAUGUAAACGGGUGAGAAUAUAUAUGAUACACUUCUUCGAGGUAUAUAUGUAUAGAAUUUAUAGAAUAAAUUUAGGCAUAUGUAAACGCUAGCGAAUUUCUCACUGGUGAGAAAUCACUAAACUUGGAUGCAGUGAAUAUGAAUAUAUUCAUUAUAAAAGUUCGCGCUAGUGUAAACGGUUGAUGCGAUUUCUAUAAAUUUGAUCAUAUUUCCUCACACGAAUAUAUCACUACCCAGCAAACAUUAAAUCGUAUAAUUUUGCACGUGCCAAGUCUUACAAGAAAUCCGAAUAAAUCAUAAUCGCAUAUAAUAUCAAUCAAAGUAUGUGUCGUGUAUGUUUGAAAUCGCAUAAAAUGCAAAAACUCGAUUUUAUAUACCAUUAUCAAAUUAAGUCGCAAUUCGGUAUAACAAACAUCAGUUUUAUGAUGUACAUUGUCGUAAAAUAUAUUUAAUCCGCAUCAUAUGUGUAUAUUACGCUGAUGCAGUUUGUGUGUCGUAUAAGCGUAUAAUUUAAAUCGAUUCAGUACUGUAGCAAAUCGUGUUGCAUGCU